rnacentral:rRNA from 1 species
CGCGCACACCACCAUAGAAUCCCCCCGACCCCAACGCGCCUUCUUCCGCCGGAGGCAAGCGUCGUGGGCGAGCGAGUGGAUCGGCCGCACCACUUCUCCCACCUUCCUUCCUCCACAGCGAGUGGAUCGGCCGCACCGACCACCGGCCUCACCAUCGCGCCGCCGCCCCGGCCGCCCAGCGCGCUGCCGCCCCAGCCACCGGCCGCCCAGCGCACCGCCGCCCCUUCCACCUGGGCGCCACCGCGCCGCCUCCUUCCUCCCUGCGCGCAGCGCCGCCCGGCCUCAUCCUCCCUGCCCCAACCUCCUCCCCUUCUCCAGCACGCCUCCACUUCUCGUCCGCCGGCGCGGCUCCACCUCCUCGUCCCGGCCGGCCAGGUGAUGCGCGUGCAUUAGUUCACGCGAGGCCCGGCCGCCAGGCACCCUUUCGCCAUCUGGCACGACGCCAUGGGUAAAUCCAGAGAUGGAGCUACCGGUUCCAGCAUCGGCACUUGUGACGUCAGUCCACGGACGUGCUUGACGCCGUCCACAACUCCAUCGCGCUCGAGCAGAUCAUCUUCCUCAAUGUUCCGGCCACGGCUCCCCACUGCCAAACACGAGAUCCCAACCGCUUCUUCUGUAAAAACUGAAGUUAUCUGAAACGUUGGCAGUCUACAAAUUAUAUUAUUGGUAGUAGCUGUUCAAUGUAUAUAUUAGAAGAAGUAAAAAAGGAAAACAGUGGUGCCCGUGCAUGAGGACAUGAGGUGGCACCACACAAAGCAGCAAUAAUAACACUGAAUGGGGCUUGUUGAUGGCAAGCAUAUCUGAAGACUUUGGUGAAGAAACACCACUACAGGUGGCACCACUACAUAUUUUGUCAGGCUCGCCUUUUCGAUGCGCAAAAUGAUGAGCGAUAAAGCUCUGGUCAGGAAACUUUUUGCAUGCGAGACAAUGGGUUCUGCAACAACAAUUUGCACUGACAAGACUGGAACAUUAACUUUAAAUCAGAAGGAAUUGAUCAGAAUACAUCUGUAAGCAUAUUUGAGCCGGAGCUGUGUGGCUUAAUGGUGGUGGAGGUCGUUCUGUAGACUGCCUCCAGUGCUCGUGCCACGGCAUUCACCGCCACCACUCUAGACCGUUCACCAUCGCCUGGCGAGUCCGUUCAACAACGGAGGGGGCGUCGUGCUGCGGGUGGACGUGGUGUUGCGAUGGGGUCCUCGAUAGUUAGGGCUCCUUCAUAGAGGAGCACAGGCGGCGGCUGGCAAAAAUGCAUGACACAGCGCUCCACUGGCCUUCCUCCUCUCGCUGGGAGGCUGUCAGCCUGUUGUUGACUCAUUUUGUGUGUGUUGGAAGAGAACUCACUCGUCCCAGCUGCUAAAUUUCUUGCAUCUGAGUGCACCACAAAAAGUGGCAAAAAGAAAUGGAUAAAAAAGGAGUUCUCACAUCACGUGACGUGCCAAAAAGAGUCCAAGCCUCACAACUCAAUGCGGGGUCAGACCAGAUGACCAACAUCUCUCCUGCUCAGUAUGACAAGGAUGUCAAUGAUAAUGAAAACCUCCCUCACAGUAGAGCGGCGGAGUGCAUCCUUGCCAUCUACAUUUCAGAGCCCCAUCAGUUCAGCGUGAUCUCUCCGGUCAGCUGCUCAACAACAGAAGCAUGUACCGCCCAGUACAUGUAUUACUAUUGCGAAGGUUCAAAAAUCUGGACUCAACAAGUUCAACGUUGAUGGUACUGUGCACAUGCGCUAAGCCGUUCUACAACAUAGCGCUAAGCCGUUCUAUGCUGCAGCUCGGGAGGUGAAGGAGCUCCCCUUGGGUUCAUCUUGCAAGUUUCGUUCAAACUUGGCCACCUAGGCUGUUCAACAGCAUCAGCAGAACCCGUUUAGUUGGUGGCGUUCCUGCAGCUGCAGAUGUGGUGCUGACAGUACUAGGCGUUGGUUGUGUUUGAUCAAAUGCCUAGGAGCUCCCAUGAUUUACACAUGGAAUCCAGAUGAUUAUGUUUCUUCAUCCCCCAAGUACUUCAAUGGUGGCUCCUUCCCGGUUGGCUCAAUUGCUGCUGGAUUUAGAAAAACUAAUAUGUGAGGAUUAUCUCAGGUUUCUUUUUGAACUUGUAGUGUUACUGUACAUGAACUUGUGCAUUACCUUGUUAUCAAUUUAUGUGUAUGUGUGUUGGUAACCACGGCUACUAGCUACUAGUUACCGAUCUGACUAUUGUAUUAGUGCAGCUGCUCUAUGUAAUUAGCCCCUUGUUGGGUGAAUCUUGUACUAUUUGCUAGCUUUGGCAUUGUAAAAAUACAACAAGUUCAUAGCUAAAAAAGUUAUAAGUUCAACACAGCGUA